AACUUGGCCUUUAAGAAAAAAAAAGGCAACCCCCAAGUCCCGGCGCCUGCGCACUAAGGCGAGCCGCGCGGCCGCUUUCCCGCUGCUUUUCGGCGGAAUGGAGCGCCUGGGCCACGCCGCGGGGUGGGGCACAAGGGGCUGUGCCCUCGCCGGAUGGGAAACGAGGUGCCGGAAACUUGAAACCCCACAGAGUACAACGUGUCCACUUAGACGGCGGAGGCGGCGCGGAACAUGGCGGGCAUCGGCGAUGUGCUGCCAGUGCCGAUGGGCCCCGAGGAGAGAGGGACUGCGGCAGGAUGGUGGAGCAGCAAGGCACACAGUUUUCUGAGCCUCAGAGAGCAUGGAUGUGAAGAACAG